GGAUUAGAUACCCUGGUAGUCCAUGCCGUAAACGAUGAUUACUCGAUGUUGGCGAUACAUUGUCAGCGUCCAAGCGAAAGCGUUAAGUAAUCCACCUGGGGAGUACGGUCGCAAGAUUAAAACUCAAAGGAAUUGACGGGGGCUCACACAAGCGGUGGAGCAUGUUGCUUAAUUCGAGGCAACGCGAAGAACCUUACCUGGGCUUGACAUGUA
rnacentral:rRNA from 1 species